rnacentral:lncRNA from 1 species
UGGAGAGAGGAGUAAUGUGAAAUAAGGUGGAAAGGUAAAUGGUAGCCAAAUUACUGAGAAUUUUAAGUGUUAGGGUGGAUAUUUUUUAUUUUCUCCUAGACACACAGGGAGCCCCUGAAGAAUCUUAAGCAAGGGGAAAAUUGCAUUUAGGACUAUUGGUUUGGUAGUUGUUUAGAGGACAGAUUGGAGAAGACUGCAAGCAGGAAGAUCAAGUAGGAGGCUAUUAUGGUGUUCCAGAAGAAUGGAAGCAUGUGCUGGAACACUGAUGGUGACUGUGUGAGUUGAGAGAAAUCUAAAAGAUAGUGUGGAGGUAGAAUUGGCAGAUCUUGUCAGCUGACUGACUAAAGGGCAUGAACAAGAGGCAACAAUGUGACUAAGAAUAAGAAUAGGAAUGUGGUGGUGCCUUGAACAGAAACAGAGGAAUUUAGAAGGACACAUUUUAAGGGAAGAUAAUGAGUUUCUUUUUAGUUAUUCUGAAUUAAGUCCACAGUACAUACAAGUGGAGAUGUCCAGCAGGCUGUUGGCAAUUCAGAAUGAACAAGUUGGACAUACAGAUUUACAUAUAAGUGUUAACUGAUGAACAGAUGAAGUUCUCAAGGCAGAAAGAGAAGAGAAAGGAAGAAAGGAAAGGAGAAGAGAGAAGAGAAAGCAGCCAUAAAAGAAGCCCACUCUUCAGGGCUGGGAGACAGAGACAAAGUGUCUGCUCUCCUGGAAUGACCUUGUCUGCUCUCCCGGAAGACCUUGAAGAGGAUUUUGCCUGUGAUCAAUGGAGGAAGGAGUUUUUCUGGAUCUGGAUGCUGGCAGCAUCAGUCUGGACUUCCUUGGACAUCUAACAACAUCAGAUCCUGGCCCUAUUUGAUUUGGACUCCUGGUAUGAGAUUGGGAUAUUUGGGAAGCAAAUGUUUUAGUUAAGUAAUAUAGCUUAGUUAGUCAUAAUCUUUUAAAUUAAGUAUAAGUAUAUUCCUAAACCAUUAUUCCCUUCCUAUCUUUCCCAAACAAUAAAGCAGAAUUUAUUUAUGUUUUCUUCUUGUGU